CCUACGGGAGGCUGCAGUGGGGAAUAUUGGACAAUGGGCGAAAGCCUGAUCCAGCCAUGCCGCGUGUGUGAAGAAGGCCUUCGGGUUGUAAAGCACUUUCAGUGGGGAAGAAAGCCUUGGGGCUAAUACCCUCGAGGAAGGACAUCACCCACAGAAGAAGCACCGGCUAACUCCGUGCCAGCAGUCGCGGUAAUACGGAGGGUGCGAGCGUUAAUCGGAAUUACUGGGCGUAAAGCGCGCGUAGGCGGUCUGAUAAGCCGGUUGUGAAAGCCCCGGGCUCAACCUGGGAACGGCAUCCGGAACUGGCAGGCUAGAGUGCAGGAGAGGAAGGUAGAAUUCCCGGUGUAGCGGUGAAAUGCGUAGAGAUCGGGAGGAAUACCAGUGGCGAAGGCGGCCUUCUGGACUGACACUGACGCUGAGGUGCGAAAGCGUGGGUAGCAAACAGGAUUAGAUACCCCAGUAGUC
rnacentral:rRNA from 1 species